ensembl:lncRNA
GAAAAUGAAUGGAUUCAGAAACCUAUUAAAGUAAAGCAUGGCUUUAAAAGAUUUUUGAAAUUAUUCACAUGUCACACUCCUGGAAAAACAAUGGUUUCUCUCAGCCAUUCCUUCUUAAAUGUUUUGUUUUUGUUUCCAGAAAUAACAUGUUUAAUUAAAUGUGCAAGAUACACUCAAGUGAUCCAGACUAAUGCACACAGGGAUUUCAAAGUCUCUUGGAAGAUUUUAGGAAGGAUUUUGAUUUGCCAGGCUCAGAUACUAAUGGGGAAAGCUGGUCUUCAGGGAAAGACCAUGAGUGCUGUGUAUGGCUCUGUUACUACUGUCAAAGUCAGUUAUUACAUUAUUGGGAAAGAAUGGUUUCAAAAGUAUCUAACAUUAAGUAAACUGGAAAGGAAAUUAACUUUAUUAAACUCUUUAUAUGUGCCAGGGUACUCUCACAUGCAUUAUUUCAAUUAAAUUUUAAAACCACCCAAAGGAAAUGGCUAUUAUUGCCCCAUUUUUAAGAUUCAUAAGCCAAGAAUCUGUGAAAGCCACGAAUAGUAGCGUGACCAAACCCAGGGCAUCUGAUGGCAGCUCCAAUGCCCUUUCCAUUACAUUGACUUAUCCUCUGCGGUAAUGAAGAUGCAUGAUCUGGAAAUGCUGCCCCUGAUCAGGAAGUCAAGGUGGUGAUGCAAUAAAAAUAUGCCACUCUUUUAAUCCAGAACAAUACUAUCCUUGAACAGCCCUGUUAGAACACAUUUAUCUGUUAAGGAUUAUAAACCAACAUCAAGCAUUCAACAUGAUUCAACAGGAGCAGUCACAAAAUGUAGACGAGUGUGAUUUACUGAACUCGAAUACACAUGCUAGUUUCAGGAACAUAUAAUGUGACCUUAAGAAUUAAUUUUGUGUGAGAGGGGAAAAGAGAGACAAAGGUUGAGUGAGAGUUGCAAAUCAAUCCAGGCCACUGGUGCUACCUCAAAAUGUUACUGUGUAUCUGUGAUUAGACAUUUGAAAGCAGGCUAAAUAAAAGUCUUAAGCUUUAAAAGGAAUAAAUGCAUUGUACAUUUCACAGCUAGUACUGUCUUCCUUUGAGCCACAAAGACAAUGAAAGCAGCUUAGUACAUAUUGUAGGCAGGUUGGACCAGCCUCUACUUUAUUGGUUACACAAAAUAGCACCCUGGCAAGUCACUUGGAUGUUUAACACUGGACUUUGAGUCUGGUGACUUGGCCUUCAGUCCUUUUGUCACCAUUAAUGUGAGAUUUUUUUUCAAGUGAACUAGUCAUUCUUGGCUUUAGUUUCUGAGAUGCUAUAUGAAAAUGUGCUUUAACAUAUAUUAGCAUUUAUGAGAGGUUAGUAAGUGCAUACACAAUAUGUGUUGUUAAAUGAAUUUGUAAAAUAAUGAGUUGGUUUUUUUUUUUCCUAAGGAACCAUAAUGAUCUAACUUUUUAUUAACUGGGAUUUAUUGAACAUGUCCAACAACUAGGCUCUUCCAGAAGACUUUAUGCCAAAGUAAAUAAAAGGAUCAAGAAACUGAGUCACAAAGAAAGAUUUGAUGGCAGUCUGCCUGACUCCAAAUCCUGGGCUUCCACUCCACAAUGUCUGAAUCUAAGACAAUAUCCUGCUGAAUAACGGAACCCAUCCAUCUCUUCCUCCCCCAGCUCUCUGCAUGCCUGGUGAUAAGUGGAGAACUUCUGCUUUCUUUCCGUUUGCUCUUUAAAUGGCUGACAUAAUCACAUAGUGAGUAAAGACAUGGCUCUUGAAGUUUGACUGAACCUGGGUUUCCAGCUCUUCUUCUUACUGGCUGUGACCUUUGGUGAGUUAUUUAAUUUUUCUUAGCUUCAGUUUCUUGGUCUAUAAAAAAAGGGGAUUAUAAUUCUUAUCUCAUAGGGUUGUUUUAAACAUUAGUAAGGUAAUAUAUGCAAGAUAUUUGGCAUAGUGAUAAGCCCUGAAUAAAUGGAAGGUAGCCUUUUUGUAAUUCAAUAUAAACAUUGGUGUUUCUUAUGACUCCAGUCUCACCCUUUUUCUAUUGUCAUCUGCAUCUGCUAAGCUGUCUCCUAUAUCCAAUCUGGAUAUGUGUGUGUGUG